rnacentral:lncRNA from 1 species
CCCUUCCCCGUCCAACUGCUACCGUUGCGCUGUCCAACCUCGUCUGUGCGCGUAGUCCAUCCUUGUUCGCUCGCUCGCCAGCAGAGGUGAGACCCCCUGCCCUCCUCCUCCACCUCACGUCCUCCUUCCAGACUGCCGACGCGGCACUGACAGCAAGCGACACGGCGUACAUCUAUUUCACUUAGGGGGGCUCCCGCAGCUUCUCCGUUGAGCUCAAUGGACCCCUGACCCAAGCCCAGCAAGCUUCUGGAUGUCUCCUCGGGGAAGAGCAAGUUCCAAAUGCGAAAUUUGGUAAUUUAGGUGGCCGGAAUUCAUGCUUGUGUGCGGCGGGCAGGCAGUUCAAUCUGCUCCAACAAUUCAGUUUUUUUUUCAAUUUUUCCAUGUGCAUCAGCAAAUGAAUAUGAGUGUGCGUGUCAAACGUGUAUAUAGACAUUGAGAAAGUUCAGUAUUGUUUCGUCUAGUUCGCUCAUGCAGCCAUGCAGAUCAUUUCUUUUCAGGCCAUCCCAGUCCAUCCCCGUAGCGGUAGGAAGGUCGAGCCCAUCGCGAGUUGCAGUCCACGACAGUAACCCGAUUCCGGGGUUUGGAGUUCAUCGACGGCGGAGGAUCCCGGGUGGCGAGCCGGCGUCAUUUUUCUGUGAAAAUUGAAGUUAGGAUGGUUCAGAAAGAAGGAGUACAGGUCAACUUCAUUUGACAUUUGCAAUUCUCAGUACAAAAAGACAGUUCGAGAAAGAAGAAAAAUUGCCGGCUGCUCCUCUUGCUUGAUGUUCAUGUGUUUAGUUCUUUACUGCUUUUUUCUCACUGUUUUGUUCAAAAAGUUUGUGUCUCCACGGACCUACGUGCCGCUGGUGCUCGCUACCCGCAUGAACAAAGAGAGGAAGAAGGUCACCAUCAGGCAGGGGAGAAGGUCACGUGAGGUGCAGAAAGAAGGUCGGAGUUCAGAACGGUGUGUGUGUGUGUGAUUUUUGUGGAGUUCAGAACGGUUUGUGCAGAAAGAAGGUGUGAUUUUUGUGCUGUUUUUUGGGGUGCAUUCCAACAUGGGGAUGCAAUCUCACUUCCGGUGUAUGUUUUUCAUCGCUUGCGUCCCGACCAUAGUUUAAACUGCAGGGCACAACCAUGCCUUGCCCGUGCCAUUGGUGUGGCCCUAGCAGAGGUGCAGCUGCUCCCCUGAAUGAGCAGUAGUUGAUAUGCGGUCGUAGCACUCGCGUCCAACUCUCCCUCUCUGGUUCUUUCUCCCCCGUUGGUGUUUAUGUCUUAACAUAGAAAACAAUUCAAC